CACGUAGGGUGCGAGCGUUUGUCCGGAAUUAUUGGGCGUAAAGAGCUCGUAGGCGGUGUGUCGCGUCGGCCGUGAAAACCUGCAGCUUAACUGUGGGCUUGCGGUCGAUACGGGCAUCACUGGAGUUCGGCAGGGGAGACUGGAAUUCCUGGUGUAGCGGUGAAAUGCGCAGAUAUCAGGAGGAACACGGUGGCGAAGGCGGGAUCCUGGGCCAGUACUGACGCUGAGGAGCGAAAGCGUGGGGAGCAAACAGG
rnacentral:rRNA from 1 species